rnacentral:rRNA from 1 species
UACGGGGGGGGCAAGCGUUGUUCGGAAUUACUGGGCGUAAAGGGCUCGUAGGUUGCCAACUAAGUCAGACGUGAAAUCCCUCGGCUUAACCGGGGAACUGCGUCUGAUACUGGAUGCCUUGAGUUCGGGAGAGGGAUGCGGAAUUCCAGGUGUAGCGGUGAAAUGCGUAGAUAUCUGGAGGAACACCGGUGGCGAAGGCGGCAUCCUGGACCGACACUGACACUGAGGAGCGAAAGCCAGGGGAGCAAACGGG